rnacentral:lncRNA from 1 species
CGUCAUGUGGUCAUUAUCUAGUAUAUGUGAAAAGAUAGAGAAUUAAGCGUUUUAGUUUAAUGAAGAUCAAAUUAAAGACUCUUGUAGCGAUCACAUCUUGUGGUCGCCAAACUAAAAUAGAAAUCGAGAUAAAGUCCCUCUUCUCCCCAAUUUCAGAUACAAGAAAAAACCUAAUUUCAGAGACAAAGUUCCUUGCUUCCUUACCAUCGGUGACUGCUUAGCCAUUCCGAUUCCUUCUUUCGUCGCUCAAGUUCAUAAGUCUCUUUCUCUCUCAAGUUUUUGUUGUUUCUCUCUCUAUAUCUCUCUCUUUUCUCUCUUAAUUUUAUAUGUAUCAAUGUUACUCCAAUGGCAGAUUCAAGCUCCAUUCUUUAUCUUCCCCACACACACAUUGCUAUUAAAAAGAACUCCUCCUUCUCUCAGCAAGACAAGGUCAGCAACCAUGAACUCUCCCUCAUACAGUUUCGUUAAUUUUUUUUUUAAAUUUAUGGGUUGGGUUUAAUUGUUAGUUUUAAUUAAUUUGCUUUCAUAUGGGCAAGCAUUAGUUUUUGAGUCUAAAUGUUGAGUUUGAAGUUAUGGAUAUGCAAUAGCUUUUUUUGAGUGUAAUUGAUUUUUUACUGCUGUUCAUAGUUAAUUUUUAUUGUUAAUUUGUUAGGUUUUGAAAUUGGAUUUUGGUGUUGUUAAUUUGGUGCUUUGUUUAUCCCAUAUUUCUUUUCUUAGUUUAUAAUGUAUAACAAAACACCAAUAUUAUUUCAAUUUGACUCUUGUAUGCCUAAUUUCAUGUAGUUAAUUUAGUGUUGAGAUUAAUAGUAUUAUCUGUAGAUGUUUUAGUUUUAAUAGUUGAACUAUUUUUCCAAACUGUUUUCAAGAACAAAUCAUUUGCAUAUUUAUUCUUUUAACAAGUUUUGUUUAUUUUUCUAAUUAUUUGUUAUUUGAAAACUAGUUUAUAGAAAUAGGUUGAGAAAGAUUUUGCAAGUUGUUGAUAAAAUCAAUAAUUGAUAAGAAAUGCUCUGAGUAGGAGAUAACAACUUUAUUCAAGUCAUGCAAUAAUGUUGUAUGUGUAUAUGAACAUGCAUACUCGGAGGAAGUAUAGAUAAAUAUGUUUGUCUGUGUGUAAGUUGAGAGAGAGAAUUAAGAGUCAGAAAAUAAGUCAUUGCAUUUUUAUUGAAUUUGGACUGGUUUAUCCAUGUUGCAUGAUGAAUUUAAUAAGACAUAAAUAGAACAAAUAUGGAAAUAAAAAGAAGAAAAGACAAACCAAAUAACCAAAUGCAGCAAAAUCAAUUAUUUUUCAAAGGGCCUAGUGUUGAUAGAGAUAAUUGUCCACAACAUUGGAAAGAUGGAAUUCUAAAGGAAUCAAGAUCUUCACUAGAUACAUACAAAAAUUGCAUUCUUUGAAUGUUUAGAGUCUUCAAAAGUAGACUUAGUACAGAGAACACGUAGAUACCCAAGAGCUAGACUAGACAACCUCUUUUUGGCUGCAAUGAAUUAGUGCAAUAGCAUAGUAAAAUGGGACUAUGUUUUGUAACUUCAUAGGUUCCUCAAACUUGUCAUUCAGUAAAUACAUGCAUGCACUGUGCUAUAUAUUUAUAUUGGGAAUUCAAUUUGUUUUUUAUGCAUUUUCACAUAUUAAACCUUUAUGGAUUAGUGAUGUCAAAUUAAGAUGAGAAAGAUGAAAAUCUUCAAGCUCUACGAAUUGGUGGCAGUAUCUGAACUUAUCAUCAGAGAACGAAAGAGAUUCCGCCCCCGACCUCGUGGAAAAGAUAAGUACUGGACUAGUAAGAGGGGACCUUGCAAAACAAAAUUCCUCCAUUGUCCGAUCAAGGCUCUUAUCUUUUCUUUCUUUAUAGGCAGCAUAUAAACGAAUGUUUAAAUGGAAAUAUAUAUGAAAGGAAAUCUGAUGCGCGCUAUCCGCAGACAAGUGCACCGAUCGUAUCAAGUAAUAUAAUAAUAAACAAGAGUAACAUUCUACUAGGAACCUAAUUGUGAGUACUACCUUCAAUCAUACACUAAUGUUUAGAAAUUAAAAUAUUGUUUGGGUGUAAGAAUAUUUACAAGUAAAACAAUCUUAAAUAUAAAGAUUAAAACAAUUAGUAACUUAUUAAGGAUAAAGCCUAUUUAGGUAGUAAAUUCUCCUAAUAAGUUAAAUAUUUUAUGAAACAAAUAACAAUUAAUUCAAAUCAAGAGUUGAGUUGGUAUUCUACAAAAUUAUUUAAACCUUUCUCAAGUGAUUAAACCCCUAAUUCCUAAGAAGAGGUAAUGAAUCUCUUCUCAAACCCACUCAUUUAGGUUAUGCAUUAAUAUUAAGGAACUAUUUAACUAAAGGAUCUUGUAGAUCUAUCUCUAGUAUCCCAGUCAAUCCUCAAUCUCUAAGAUGUGAUCGAUUCAUAAAAAGUUAUCUCUAAUCAGUUUAUGAAAACAAAUCCCAAUCAAUACAUCGAAUUAUAAUUGAAAUAUAUAAUUAAGCAAUCAAAGAAAAAACACAACUCAUAAAAAAAUCAAUUGCAUUAACUUUAAAUCAAUCAGUACAAAAUUAAUUAGGGUUCAUUAAACCCAAAUAGCAAGAAAAUUAGUUUCUAGACAUGACGAUAAAGAUUAGGGAAAAAAGAUCUCAAACCAGUCAUGGAAGAGUAUAAAUGAAAAUUUUCAAUCUUGAAUCCUCAAUCUUCAAAAGCAAUGAAGGAAAUGAUGUUCUUCCUUGAGAAAAUAGUAAUUAAAACCCUAAAAUUGAAAGAAAGAUGAAAUUUCUAAGUGUUUCUCUCUCUAGAAGUGAAAAUAUGAUGAAACUUCCUCAAAACAAUCCUAAAAGUUCCUUUAGAUAGUGUAUUUUUAUUAUUGACACGGGGACCACAUGGGCACCACACGGCCGUGUGACGUCCUUAGCUUUUCGUAGCUUGAAUAUGUGUUUCUGUCUGUUUUUUACUUUACGAGCUAUUUUAUGGCAUCUUCGAAAUCGAGUUGAGGCUUAUGUCCUUCAUCAAAGUUGUAUAUUUUGAAAAGUAGUUCAUUUUAUAAUUUUGAAUCACCUCAAUUAGAUCUCUCUAACUCUAGAUAAAUUCCAAACACCAAGACCGACUCAAAUAGAAACGGACUGCACAACAUCUAACUUCGAUCUAAUUUUUCUCAUCUUUAGAAACCUAAUAUGGAGUUGACCCAUUCAUAAGAAUUAUAUCUUAGGAUGUCCUCUACAAAGUUUAUGAAGAGCACUGUUCAAUUAUGGACCUGUAAGAUUAUGAAAAACUGGAUUGAAGCUAAUGCGAUCAAAUCUGCAUAAUGCUGAAAUUCGCUUGUCAGUCUGACACUGGAAGCACAUGCCCGUGUGGGCUUCCUGUGUGGACCUUUAUGUAAUCUGCCAUUUUUUACAACUCAUAUGGGAAGACCACCUGCCUGUAUAGCUUCCCGUGUUAGAUAGAAUUUUGGAUAAAUAUGCCUUUUCUUUGCCUGAUUCUCAUGCUUUUUAAUUCCAUUUGACUCCUUGACAUGUAUUAUCCUUAAAGUGCCUAAAGGAACUGAAAAUCAAGUUUGAACAAAUAAAUCAAACUCAAUUGAAGGUAAAAUUAAUUAAAAUAAAGCUCAAAAGUAAGUGUCUUUAGCACUCAUCAAAAUCUUAAAUUUAAUGUCAAUUUCUUUUCGUUCUCUGUGUAUCUCUUAUUGGAAAGGAACUAUUAAGAAGAUUAUUGUUGAGGUCUACAUUUUUCAAAACUUUCAAGUUAGUUGGAUUUGUAAUAAAAUAAAUAUGAAUAUAAGUAAACUGAGUGAAAAUUGAUAAAAUUUAAAUUUCAUAAAAUAGAUAAUUAAUACAGCAAAUGUACGUACCGUCUUGAAAGGCUUCUUGCAUCAAAUUAAGACUAAGAUCUAGAAUUUUAUGGGAUGUGACUACCCCCAAUGAUUGUAGAAUACUACUCUCCGUGAACUGGUUUCUAGUAAGUUUCAAUGUCUUCAACUUCUGAAAUUUUGAUAAACAUUAAAAAUGAAGUAAUACAAUCAGUAAUUAUUUGCAGUAAUUAACCAGGAAACUACAUCAUUACAUUAAUAUUUCUUUAUUUUAAGUACCUUCUGUACUUAUAGAGCCAUUGAAGUUGUUAAAGCUUAAAUCUAAAAGUGUCAGGUUUUUUUAUGGUUGCCAGUUCUGUAUUCAUCACCAAGAAAUGAAAAUUCAUGGCAAGGAACUCAAUAAUCUUAAAUUGUUUACAUAACAUCAUAAAAAUAAAAUUAAUUUUUUAAUUUUAAAAAAUUUAUAUUUAGAAAAUAAUAAAAUAAAAUAUAAAAAUCAUAAUUUAUACUCCGUAAAGCUAUACCAAAUGGCAGUGGUAUAUCUACGAGUUAUCAAAAUCAGUACUAAAUGAACAAUGUAAAUGUAAAAGCACAAUUUGAAAGAAUAUAAUACCUUCAACUGGAAAGGUUGCUUGAAAUUUAUUGCCAACAAGACUCAAACUCUCAAAUUUGCGAAAACCCUUGGAAAUAUUAACAAAUUGAACUUUUAAAAAAUUAACAAAUAUGGGAAACAUAUGGUGAUGAUUUUAUGCUCCACAUGCAUAUUUUGCUUUUAUAGUUUUAGUCCUUCAAAUCUAUUUGUAUUUUUAUUAGGUCCUUGCAUUGUUAAUGUUUUUGAUAUUCAUGACCUUUCUAACUAUUUUGAAGCACAAAAUAUAAUUAGAUUUGCUUUCAUCAAUUAUUGGGGCUUUUAAAAUGACAUUGUUAUAAAUUGGUGAGAACUUUAUAAUUUUGAUAGCUUCACUAGUAUAUACAUAAUAGAUAACUGUUGUAAUUUUAGUAUUAAGACUUGAAUAAAUAAUUAUUUUUUAAUAUAGUUUUUGUAUGAAGAAGUUUCUUAAUAUGACCUUGAUUCUUAGAAAUUGAAAAAUACUUUGUUUAGUUAUUUACUAGUAUUGAUUAUGUUGUAAUUAUAGAAGAACAUGAGUGAUGAUCGAAGCUGGAUAUAUCAAAAGCUAAUAAAUGGCCUUCUCAAUCCUAAGUUUGUUGAUAGUAUUGACAAAUUCAUUGAUUUUACAUGUACUCGUCUAGAAUAGAUGGACAAAGAAAAAAUAAAGUGUCCAUAUCCAUGCAAUAAGUGUUAGAAUCGUUAGUACUUAGAUGUUGAGACGAUGAAAUUACAUUUUCUGAGAUAUGGCUUCUUAUCGGAAUAUUAUGUAUGGACAAGACAUAGGGAGACAGAGGCAAGGACCCUUCAGCCAGUUUUUUUCAUUUGAGGAACUUGAAAUAAUGGUUAACAACUAGUAGUAGACAAUAGUGAUGGAUGCUGCUGGACCUUUAUUGAAUCCGAAUUUCGAUGGGCAAGAAAAUCCUAAUAUCGUGGCACAAGAAUUCUAUGAUAUGCUAAAUGUAGCAGAUAAUCUGUUGUGUCCCGAUUGUCAAACCCAUUCACAGUUAUCUCUAGUUUCUAGAAUGCUGAAUAUCAAGGCUGAUCACUAUUUGUUAGAGCAUGCUUUUGAUGCAUUUGCUCAAGUAAUCAAAUAGGACGUGCCGAAAGACAAUCUUGCCACUGAAAACUUUUAUGAUACGAAGCGCUUGGUUCUCGAGUUGGGAUUACCAAUAGAGAAGAAGCAUUGCUGUUUUAAUGGCUGCUUGUUUUAUUGCGAGGAAGAUGUGAACUUAACUCUGUACAAGAUUGGUGGCCAUCAACGUUACAAAAGAUGGCAUGCCACUGAAAGCAGUCAAAGAAGGAAAAAAAUGUAUUACUUUCCUUUGACACAACGUCUUCUUAGAUUAUACGCUUCAAAAGCAACUGCUAAUGAAAUGAGGUGGCAUAUAGAGCAUGAGGUUGAGGACGGUGUAAUGCAACAUCCUUUAGGUUGCUUGAAAGCAUUUUAAUAAUGUUCAUCUUGAUGUCUCUUUUGAAAUCAGAAAUGUCCAUCUUGGCCUCUACAUAGAUGGAUUCCAACCUUUUAGACAGUUCGGUCAAUAAUACUUAUGCUGGUCAGUGAUAGUGAUAGUGUAUAAUCUACCCUCUUGGAUAUGUAUGAAAGGGACAUUGAUGUUUUCAAUCCUUAUUCUAGGACCUCGAAUCCUAAAACACAUGAUAGAUGUGUAUUUGUAGCCAUUGAUUAGUGAAUUAAAGUAGUUGUAGGACUAGGGGGUUCAAGCAUUUGACAUUUCUUGGAAUUAAAACUUUUAAUUAUAAGCAGUCUUAAUAUGGAGAAUGAACGACUUCCUCGCAUAUGCAAUGUUGUUAAGUUGGUCCACCACCGACCGUUUGGCUUAUCCUUAUUGCAUGGAGGACUCUGAUGCCUUUACCCUAAGUAAGAGUGGUAAGCAGUCACAGUUUGACAAUCACAGGAAGUUCUUAGAUACUGAUCAUCCUUUUAGAAGGAAUAGGUAUAGAUUUCAAAAAAAUCAAACUGCAACAAAAGUUAGAUCCCUAGUUAGAUUGAGAAAAGAAACAUUAGGUAUGCUUGAUGAUAUCAGAAUGAAAAAGGUAACAGAUGUAGAUAUGCUGAUGUAACGAAUGAUCCACUAAGUAAAUCAUGGGGCUGGAAAAAAUGAAGCAUCUUUUGGGAUUUGCCCUACUGGAGCUCCAAUCUAAUUCAGCAUGAUCUCCUUGAUAUUACACAUGUUUGCAUGCUUAAUUUUAAGUUUUUUAAGGCAAAUAAUGUGUUUUUGUAUUAAAAUCACCCUGUUUUAGUUUCCUUUAUGUCUCAAGUGUUUUUCUAGGUAUAUCAUCAAAGUUAGAGAGAAAUCAAACCAAAAUCGGAAAGAAACAGACGAAUCGGGUACGUUAGACUGUUCAACACUCCUUUCCAACACACCCGUGCUGAGGAGCACGGUCAGGGUCAGAGGGCAUGCAGAAAUGCCUUACCCUGGCAAGAAGAAGCAAUUUGCAACACGGUUUCCGAGAGUGACACAGGCAUAAUAGCAUGCCCGUGGUGAGCAGCACGGCCCAAUUCUACAUCAUGCUGAAGAAGGCCAGAUGUACAAUUUUAGCUUAACACAACAAGGAUCCAGGCCGUGCUGGUCAGCAGGGCCCAAAUCCAAGCUGUGUUGGAUUUUGAAAUCUAAUUUAAAAGAAAAGAAAAAGAAAGCAAAAAGGGAUAUCGAGGGAUUCUAGAGAGAGAAAUUUGGAGUAUUUAAGACAGACUUUGAGAGCAACCUUCCAGAUGAUCAAGAAGAGAAAAACAAAGACGAAUCCAUUUUAACAUCAUCCAAAUAGUUGUUUUUGAGGAUUGGAUUGAAGAUUCAAAGGAAAGAAGAUGGAGAUCUUGAGCUGUAGAGAUUGGAUCCAGAGUUAUUCAAAAGGGGAUAGCAUUUCCACCAUUUGAGAAAAGAGUGUUCAUGUUCUUUUCGAUUCUUAUUUAUUUUGUAUUUGAUUCUUGUAUUAGUUUAAUUAUGAACAUGUAUAACUAAUCUUAUUAAACCCAUUUAGGAGUGAUCUUUAGCUAUGCUAGGCUUGUUUUAGGCUUAAAUGAUUGGAUUGUUGAUUUAAGAUUGUAGUUUUCAUUCAAGUAUAACACAAUCUAUUGUUUCUUCUUCAUUGUUGAAUCAAUUUUAGAAAUCCUUUGUAAUUGAGAAAUUUAAUUGAGUUUGGACAACUGCUAGUAUGAUUAAGUGAUUUACAUCUUAGAGAUAAGUGUCAUAACUUACUAGAAUAAGAACUAGACAGUCUUAUUAGUGGUAAUUUAGAGAUUAAUGCUAUUCUAAAAUCAAUUAUUAGGAAGAAAUUCCAACUUUAGAUCUUUAGUAUUAGAAAUUGGUUAGCUCGAGAGAGAGGCCAAUUCAUUUAAGAAAUUAUCCACAGAUCAUAAAUCUUAAUCAAUCAAUUCAUAAUUUAUUGUUUUUAAGCCAGCUAGCUAAAAGGAUCCCAAUUGAGUUAAUUCAUCUCAUUGUCUUUUUUAAAGUUUCAUUCUCUUUGUUAAAAUUUAGUAUUCAUUUGCAUUCUCAAUCAUUUUUAGUUAAUGAUUUUCACCAUCUUUUGAUCGGUUAGAUAAUAGGAAUAGCAUAGUAGUAGUAGCUUUUCAAUUUCCGUAGGAUAUGACAUUGAUACUUACCAUAGCUAGAUUACAUUUAAUAGGUGCACUUGCCUAUAGAUUACUAAUCGUGUUUAGCCAGCAUCAAAAUACAACCUUGUUGUUAUGCAUAUUAAGAAACACUUUUUGGACAAUGUCUUUAACACAGUGUUGAACAUACUUGACAAAACAAAGGACACUUUGAAGUCUAGGAAAGAAUUAAAUGAGUAUUAUUGGAGGCUGGAUCUUGGAAAGUCUUUAUUAACUGGUAAAUACCCAAAGGCUUGCUACACACUUGAUAGGGAAGCUAAAUUAGUUUUGUUCGAAUGCCUUAAAAAGUUGAAAUUCCCUGAUGGAUAUGUGUUAAAUAUGGGAAGAUGUGUGGAUAUGAAAAGGUUGAGGUUGUUUGGAAUGAAAAUCCACAACUGCCAUGUCUUCAUGCAGAGGUUAAUGCUUAUUGCCUUCCGUGAACUAUUGCUAGGGAAUUUAUGGAGGGCUCUAAUUGAGUUGAGCUUAUUUUUUAAGACUUUAACUGCAACAGUCAUUACGAAUGAAGAUAUAUCUACACUUGAAGCUGAGAUCUCAAUUAUCCUAUGCAAGCUUGAGAGAAUUUUCUGUCCAAGUUUCUUUGAUUCUAUGGAACAUUUUGCCAGUCACUUACCACACAAGGCUUGCCUUAUUAGACCUGUUCACUUUCAGUGGAUGUACCUAUUCGGGAGGUUUGAAAGAUCAUUAUAAUCUUUUUAAUAUUCUAAUGUAUCCUUUCAUUUUAUAUUGGCGUGCUAACUUUGUAGGGAUCUUCGGAAGUACAAGAAGAAUGUGAGAAAUAAGGCACAAGUGGAAAGCUCAAUAUACAAUGCCUAUUUAGUAGAGGAGGUGUAUGCUUUCUGCUCGUACUACUUUGAGGAUCAUGUGGCAGCAAAAGUAAGAACUAUGCCUCGCUAUUAUGACGGUGGGGGUUGAGAUGAUAAACCAAUUUAUGAAGGAAAUCUUUCAAUUUUCAAAUACAUUGGUAGAUCAUUUGGCCAUUCAAGAACAAGACAUAUGACACUAGAAUAAUAUAAGGCUGCUUAGUCAUACAUUUUCUUUAAUUAAAAAGAAGUAGAUCCAUUUGUGGGGUUAGAAUUCUAUUUUUAUGAAAGACUUAAUAACUGACAUACAAUUUUCUUAAUAAUAUCAUCUAACAGUACACUUUAUAGUAUUUACAUGGAUAUAUUACAGUAACAUAGUUUAAACAUUACGAAUGAAGAAGUGGAUGAAGUACUUGAAGUGGACUUCCCUAUAUGGUUCAAAGCAUACGUGAGUCUUCUUCUUCUAGCAAUGUUUGUCAAUAAAAUGAAUGUUUUUUAAUACAUUAACUGAAUAUAUUUUUAGUCUUUCAAGUACACGAUCCAUCAAGCAAUAUUCAUAAUAAUUUUCUCAAGGAUCUCGCAAAAGAACCUUUGACUACUAUUACAACAUUCCUAGGGUAUUUUGUAAAUGGUUAUAAAUUUCACACGAUAGAGCAUGGUUCAAUAAGAGGUUCAAUGAAUAGUGGGGUAUGCAUCAAAGGCUAAAAUUAUAGUGUUUCCGAGAAUGAUUUCUACGGUCAGCUAAUUGAGGUUGUCCUUAUUGAAUAUUUGUGGGUGGCGGUUUAAGACGCACACCUAAGUGUCUUUAGCGACUACGACAUUGUAAGGCUUUUCAAUCUAAUCAGAAACACACUAACUAAUCAAUGAGACUAGCAUGGUGAUGGGAGUCGCUAUCCUGAUAAUCAUUGGAACACUUUUACUAAUGAGUAGCGUUUCUCAGAUUCUGUAAGGAAGCUUACGCCACAAAUUCAGAGAUGGAUUUAUAAGCCAACUUCCUUAUUUGUGUACAUUAGUCUUUAAUUUUAUUAAUUAACAAAUUAUUCCCUAUAAAUUCAUGCAAUUUAGACACAGGCAUGCCAAAAUAACACACAUAAUUCACCUAAGUCUAGCCCAUUUUAUUCAAGCUAAGCCUUUGUUAGAGUUAUUAGUCUAAUUUACUAGUUAAUUAUGUAUAUAGCCCACCUAAUCUAGCCCAAUUACAUAUUAUGGUUUUGAUUUCCAGUCUUUAGACCUAAUGGACUACUUAUUAUGAUAAAGCUCGUUCUAUGUGGACCUAAUUCUAAUAAAGCCCAAUUCUAACUAAAACAUGCUAAGUGCGGUAAGUUUACCUAGAUCUUAGAGUUUUAGGCCUAGUUAAUAUUGAUUAACCUAUUGGACUAUAAUAUUUAUGUUGGCUACAGUUUUAACCCUAAGUCUAUGUGGCCCAUUUUAAUUAAUAAAUCACAUAAACAUAUAUUUGAUAAUUAUAUAGUAAGCAAAAUAAACAAUAUAAAGGUAGAAAAACAAACCUAAUUAUUACAACUCUGCCUACAACUAAAUUGUGAAAGAAAAAGACCUAAAAACUAAUAUAGAAUGUCAGAAUAUAUUAAAAUCGUCCAAAAGCCAAAAAAUUGGGACUGAGCCUUGCAUAACCGAUCGACUCAACACAGAGCCAAUUGGCUUUGCAUUGAGCCGAUCGGCUCAAGGGUUCCCGGCAGGCUUUCUGCCGAUUCUCCAGAGCUGAAUUUCACAUGCACAGUGAAUAAAAUUAAUUAGAUAUAAAAGAAAAUAAAAAUAAAGAUAAAAGCAACAUGAUCAAUCAAACGAUUAAAAAUAUCCUAAAACUGAUAAAAACCCUAAAAUCUAAAAGUAUAGUAAUUACUAAAUCAUGCAAUCCUAUUAGAAAUGUUUAAUUAGUAAAUCAUAAUAGAAAUAUAAAUAUGAUCAUUAAUACUAUUGCAUGCAUCUAAUCAUAUUUAAAAUCCUAAUUGGAAAAAUUAUUAAAUUUAAAAACCCUAGAGUUCUUAUUAUUAGAUUCAAAACCGAAUUAACAUGCAAAUCUACAAAAACCCUAAUCUAAUCAUAGUGAUCAUAAAUAAUAACCCUAAUCAUGUUUCUAAAAAUAAAUAACAAAACGUGUAAUACCCGAAAUUUUUAUAUAUUUAAUAAUGAGUUUCUAUUUAAGUUAAUUUUAGCUUUAUUUUUAUUUGGUUUAAUUUGAAAUGUUUUAAUGGAAAUUUGUGAGUUUGGUAUUUUUGUAAAUAAAUAUGUCGGUCAGGGGUAUUUAUGUAAUUGUGUAUUUUCAAUAAUUCUAAUUUGGCCCAAAUUGAAUAGUUAGGGGCUAAAUUGAAAGGCUAAAAAGAAGUUUAGAGGUUAAAUUGGAAUUUUGUAGGAUGGAAUUGUAAGUAAUUAAGAAAGUUGAGGGACCAAAUUGUGAUAAGGAAAAGUUUGGGGGCUUAAUGUCGAUAUUGAAAGAAAGAAAGAAGGAUUAGGGAGAAAGAAGCGGGGAGAGAGAAGCGGGGAGAGAGAGGGAGACGUCGGGAAGAGGAAGGAAGAGGCGGCGGCGUCGUCCAUCGGGGCACGCGGCGAGGCCGGCCGAGGGCGCUGCUGGCGCCGGCGAGUCUAGCAGCGGUGGCGGCGGCGUUAGCAGCGAGGAGAAAUAAAAAAGAGAGGCAGCGGCUUUCGAAGGCCGUUCCGGUCGUUUCCGGCCGAUCUUGGUGGCGAUCGGCUCCCCUCGAAGAGAGCUUCAUUUUGGCGGUGGCGGCGUCAGUUUUGGUGGCCGGAGGAGGGAGUUCUAAAGAAGUGGAGGCAGCCGACGUUUUUGGGUUUUUUCGGCGAGCUCCGAUGAGCUAUGGACGAUCAGAGGACAUAUCCCGACUCUCCUUAGCUCAAGCUUCACAAUGGCACCGGUUUCGUGGCGAUCGGGUUUCAUUUUCAAAUCGACGGUCGAGAUCGUCCGCAAAUCUCUCCAGACGAUCGGGUGUCAGAUCGGAAAGUCGGAAGCGAGGAUCGUCAUCAGCGCGUCGUUUCGAGUCCGAUGGUGAGCUCGUAUCGUCGAUCGGACUCCGACGGCUGGAGGCGAGUCGACCGAGCUAUCAAGCAUCUCGGUAAUUUUUCUUUGGCCUGUAAUUUUGGAAAUUCUAGGUUUAAUUGUGUGUCUAUUGGAUUAUAUUGAGUAUUUGAUGAUAUUUGUGAGUUAAAAAUAAUUGUCUGUCAGUUUGCCUGCCUCGUGUUUUGUAUUGUGGCGGAGUCGGGAAAAUAGUGAAGUUUGGGGACCCGACUCCUGUUGUUUAAAUUGUUGGAUAUUUGAAGUGUUUUUCUGGUAGGUCCUGGACCCGUUUUUACGGGGGUAAUGUCCGUGUUGUAGGGGAGGUUCUGCCGAAUUUUCGGUAGCAUUCUCCCUAGUCAAGAUUCUUAGACAGUCAGUCCUAGGAGUCUAGACCUAGGAUUAAUGAUCGAUUGUUUCAGCGUUUUGAUAAAUUGUUUUCCGUGACUAGAUUGUCCGUUUGUUUGGCUCGCUCCAACCGAGGCACCGGAGCAGAGCUAGGAGGUCGCCUAAUUCUGUGAAUUAAAGUCAUUUAAUCAUUGCACUAUUGCUAAGUCUGAUUUUAAUAUGCUAUUUUAGAAUUUGUGCUUAAUAUGAUUAUUAGUAUCGCAAAAUAAAUGAUUUCACUUGAUUAUUAAUUAUUGAAAUAAUAUAAAUAUUAUUAUUAGUAACGUUAUAAUAAUACAAACGUUAUUAUUUUCCCUCACGAAUUGCACGUUGUUUUACCCUAAAUCUUUAAUCUUUAUUUCGAUAUGUGUUGGAUGAUUUCAUUAGACAAUGAUAUUUAUUAUAUGUGAUGAUUUCAAUUUGGGGAUGUGGCUUUCGUAAAACAUGCCACCUGAUGGGUUACAUCAGGACCGCGUGCGCACCGGUAAUGAUCAUGGACGGGUAAUAAGAUUUUUAUGAGUUCACCCUGGUCGAGCAUGGCUCUCUGGGCUGAUUUGAGUAAAUUGCGGUAAUAAGAUUAUUAUGAGUUUUGCCCUGGUCGAGCAUGGCUUUCUGGGCUGAUUUGAGUGAGAUGCCGGAGUAAAGGACCCUGGUCGAGCUUCGCUCUCUGGGCGCCAGUCCUAUUGGAAUGAGAUGCCGGAGUAAAGGUCCCUGGUCGAGCAUUGCUCUUUGGUCGCCGGCUUGGCUUAUUUGGAUACUUAAGUGACCAGACUGGAGGUAAGGUCCCUGGUCGAGCAUUGCUCUCUAGGCGCUAGUCUUAUUGGAUUAAGAGAGCCAAAAUGGCUACUAGAAUUUGGGGUUAGGGUUCUACUGAGCCACUCGUCCCGUAAAAGUAAAAAUAUAUUUUUAUUUAUUCAUUUAUUUAUUUAUUAUGGUAUGAUUAUAAUAUGGGUUGUAUUUACGUGCAUGGUUGAUAUAUUGAUUCGAAUGAUUAAUAUUUUCUGUGAAGAAAGCAAUAGGGUAUGAUUAUAAUAUGGGUUGUAUUUACAUGCAUGGUUGAUAUAUUGAUUCGAAUGAUUGAUAUUUUCUGUGAAGAAAGUAAUAGGGUAAUGAUUAUAAUAUGGGUUGUAUUUACGUGCAUGGUUGAUAUAUUGAUUCGAAUGAUUAAUAUUUUCUGUGAAGAAAGUAAUAGUCUCUAGAUUAUUUGAUUUUAACUCACUCUCGAGAGUGACAGUCUCCAUUUACUGUUUUUCAGAUUUGUGACUGUUGGCCUUCCCGCGACUCUUAUUCAGUAACCCGACUCCUUCAUCAUCGGGUGGUGUUUGUAUUGGUAUGUCAAAUUGUAAAAAAAAAAAAAGAAUCUUAGAUCCUCCGCAGUAGUAAUAGUAGGGACAUCAGUGGUAAAUUUUCUGUAUUUCCGAG